GGGAGUAUAGCACAGUGGUAGAGCAUGUGCUCGGCAUGCACGAGGUUCUGAGUUCAAUGCCUAGUACCUCCA
rnacentral:tRNA from 1 species